AUUAGGGACCCCAGAUCUUGGCAAGAUUUCUUCUAAUAUCUUCUUGGCUGCCAUGGUAGCUGUUUCCUGCUUAGUAGGAAAAGCCUCAACCCAUCCAGAGAAAGACACAAGAACAGCACUCCCAUGACACCCAACAACUGACCUCCUAUGCUUGGCCAUGGAUGACUGAAGGGGUCCAAGAAUCUCACCAAUUCCAUCAGCAUCAGGGAGCUCCAGGUUGAAAAUGGAAUUUAAGAGGUGAUCCAAACCAUUCUCACUCUCCAAAGACAAAUUGAUUCUGACAGGGGCUAGAUAUUCUUACAGAAAAAGAAGGUGGUCUUUGCCUUUUUCUCCAAAAAGAAAGCUGCUUCCUCGUCAACCAGUCUGGAAUAAUGAGAAACAAAAUCUAGCAGUUAGAAUCAGACAUCCAAAAACAUAGGGAAAAGUAUGAGGCCUCUAAUUCCUGGGAUUUCUAAAACUUUAUAUAAAAAUUAAUACUGCCUUUCUAACCUCCCCCCUUUUUCUCAUUUUUCUAGUUGUACUAUUUACUCCCUGCCUCAUUAAUCUCAUCUCGACAUUCCUUCAAACACAAAUUCAAAACAUUAUUUUAAAGAUUUUUAUUUAUUAUAUAUGAGUACACUGUAGUGGUCUUAAGACACACCAGAAGAGAGCAUCAGAUCUCAUUACAGAUGGUUGUGAGCCACCAUGUUGUUGUUGGGAAUUGAACUCAGGACCUCUGGAAGAGCAGUCAGAGCUCUUAACCACUGCACCAUCUUUCCAACCCCAAUUCAAAACAUUUUUAACCAAAUAAUUAGAUAAUUUACAGUAUUACCAACCACUGUUUAUAGAAGAGCCUGGUACAAAUUACUAUAAAAUGAGCCCCAAUGAUGAGGGUCAGCUCUGUCCCAAAAUGGAUGAUGCCCUAGACAUUACUGAGGAAUUUAAAGGAUCUUAUGCUCCUAUUCCUGUCUACAGUUCCUCCUCAUUUAUAAGAAAGAGAGGGGAAUGCUAGCAUCAAGUGAUUCUUUGGAUGUCUUUAUAGCCAGUUCUUAGACCCAACAAUAAGACAUGUCAUCUCUAGGUACAGUGCCACUCCCAGAACAUUUUCCACAUGUGUCAUGGCCCAAAUAAAAGACUUGUCCCUCUGGCCUAUAGCCCAUUCUUCUUCCCUCUUAACCAUGCCUAGAGGUCCCCUCUGUCAAUAAAACCAGCCAUGUGAGACUCACAGCAUACUGUGAAUUGUAAGGAAAUGCAUUGCCUAUUCUAACACAUGUUAUUUCCCAGCAUCAACAUACUGGAAAUUAAAUCUAGCACAGGAAAGCUUAGGUAACAAACCACCUUCAAAUCAUGGUGGGCUUCUUCACGUAUCCCCAGUGGAUAUGUUAAGAAACAGAAUGUUAGAGUGUUUACUGGAUUUCAGGUUGUAGAGUUGUUAUAUAGUGAGAGGAAAAGUGCAAAACAACUUUUGUUAUUGUUUCUUGCUUGUGUGCUCUUGAUGACUGCUUCCUGAAUUUCUUCACAGAGAGGUAAGUAGAUAUAGCCUGAUUAAUAGUACUUUUGCUUCUAUAUGUUCAUUGUAUUACCAUACAGUUUAGUUUUAACUGUUCAGAGGGGAUUGUGUGUGUGUGAGUGUGUGUGUGUGUUUGUGUGUGUGUGUUUCUGUAUGUAUUUAUUAAUAUUUGUCUUCAUCUGGAGGCUAGUGGUGAACUUAGGGACUGUUCUUUAGGAGACAUAUGCCUUAAAUUCUGAGGCAAAGUUUUAUUGGCCAGAAUCUUCUUGAGUAAGCUUAUUUAUCAAUGUGUAGAGGGGAAUGCAUACAUCUCCACCUCCCUGACACUGGGAUUACAUUUAUGUACCACCACACCAAACUCAUUUACCUGACCUCUGGGUAUUGAAUUUCCAUGGUUAUGUUCAUGUGGCAAGAACUUUAUGGGCUGAGAAACCUCCACAGAGCAUAAUUUUAUUAUUUAUAUUGAUAUUUUAAGCAACACAAAAUAUAAAUUAAUAAAUGAUGAAAAUAUUUAAUGUGUACUAAUGAAAGGACAUUAGAAUUUGUAUCGAUUAGCUGUCUUGAUUAACUGGUUUUUCCAAACUUGCCUGAUCAUUGGGUUAAUUCAUCUUUUAUCUAUUUUCAGAAUAUAUUUGGGUGAAAACAUGCUGGAAAAAGAAUGAAUUAAGUAAAUGAAAUGCAAAGUAAACCCUCCACUGGGCACUACAAAUAUUUUAUCCUUUUUUCCAUCAUGAGAAAAUUGUCAAGGAAGAAUGUGGUCCUGGCUUUUCAGAAAGAAGUGCCCAGAGAUAUCAGAAAGUGGUAAGAUGAGAAUCAUGGGACCUGAGUGGGUUGCAUAUGCAAGCUCUGCAAAAGAUGCAAUAGGAAGGUGUAUAUCCCUCAUCUGUCACUUGCCAAAGGCAGUGUGAAAGCACAUUGACCUGGAGGACAAGCUGGUCUUUUUGUUACGUUUUGUCAUAUUGUAAACAAGCAUUCUCUUUAUCUCAGAUAGGACCCCAAAAUAAAUACAUCACAAAAAUCCAACCUGGGAAAGUGAAUAAUUUAUUGGAAAUAGGUGAGGAGAUACUUAAUGGAGAUGGAAUGACUCAAAAAAAACAGCUGAGUCACUGAGAACUCAACUUUGACUCACUGAUAGUUCAUAAAGCUAUAAACCUGGUAUUCUCUGUACAACUCAGCAAGUCAUAGACACUUCUAGGAUCCACUAGCUCCAUUAAUUUGUCCCUCUUCAAGGCAGCUUGGGUGGUCUCUGUCUUGUUAGCUGUCUUUACUGAUUAUAUAACUUGGGAGGAUCCUUGUAUAUCUGGUAACUUUCAGAGAUUUCUUGAGAUUUCUAAGUUUUCAUGAAAUAUUUAUUUACUGAGUCAUAUCAUGCCUUUUGUUUAAAUGUCUUACACACUACUGAGCUUCAGAGGAAGGAGCUACAUGAACCAAGACAGCUUUGCUCCAUACCCUGCAACAGGGGGUCUCCUUUACUAGGGAGUCUCAGAAACUCUCCUUGGCACUACAGUUUGUUCACACAAUCACCUUUUCUUUGGAAUAAAAUUGAGUUUCUGAACUUCAUGUCUUCCUUGACCUAGGGAUAUAAGUGUUUCUUGUUAUGUGCUUCAGUGAUGUGUGGAAACACUCUCAAAUUUAACACAGCCAAAUACAGAGGGGAAGGGAGGAUAGAACCAUACUUCUGUAGAGAUUCUAAUUAGGAUUAGACACACCUUUGACUCACCAGUUCCAAUUUGAAGAGCACACAGAGAAAAAGAGAGGAAAGCAGGUCUGUUGCUUUUCUCCUAUACACUGUUGAUGUACUAAAUUAUGGACAAUCUCAGAGGUAGAGGAAUUGAAUAUCUGUCAUAGAUCACAUAAGGCAGCACCUGCAGUGGUGCUACUAUUUAUGGGCUCACAGAACCAAGCUCUACAAUAUCAUGCUGUAUUGUUACAUAAUUAAUUUUUCUGCCCAAACACAAUAUGGGUAUACUCCAUAUGGUUGUCAUGAGGAGAUUUGUCAUAUCUUGGGUCUCUAUUUAUAGAGUAACUAGCUUUUGGCAACUCAACUUCAAAAUGCAUCUGAUGUACUAAGGAAAGUGUGAGGUAUCAUUGACUUCAUUUAGAUAUGAAAUGCACACACUGAAUCUUUGUAGGUUAUCCUAUAGGUACAAGCUCAUGGGAGGAACUUACAUGAUUCACUUUAUCUAGGCCAGUCCUGGUGUGCAGAAACAGAUCAGUGCUCUGCAUUGUACUUGGAAAUUAUAGUGUUUGCUUGCAUUUUAAAGGAAUUUUGCUUUAUUGAAUAUCUUUCUAUAUGUGAACACUGUGUGUGUAUGCUUUUGUAUGGGUCUGUGUGUAAGAUUACCUUACCUUUUCAAUGGUGUGUCUUAGUGGACUGGAUUUUGCUGAUGUUGCUAGGGUGGCUGGCAAGUGAGUCCAAGGGAUGUGCUUGUCUCUACUUCCCCAGUCCUUAGACUAUAUCUCCAUCCCAUAAUGUCCAGCUUAAUAACUAUAAAAUUAUUGUGUCUGUGUGCACUUGUCUGAGUUUAUUCAUACUACAUUGUUCCUGAAACAACAGUAGACUGAAUAAGAUAUCAGCUUCCCUAAAACUGUAUCAACAGACCAGUGUGAGUUGCUGUGUUUGUGUUGGGAACUGAACCUUUGUCCUCUGUAAGUCCAGCUAGUGUUCUUACUGAGCUAUUUCAGCAAGCCAUUGCCCAGCUUUUUCAAGUUGAGGUUGGGGACAGAACUCUGAUUUUCAUGCUUAGGUGACAAUAAAUUUACUGUUUUUUUUUCAGAUGCCAAAACAACCCUUUAAACUGAACCCCCUCUAAUGAAAACUUACUUGUGAUGCUGAGAUAGGGGAGAGAAAAUGUGGGCCAGAUUUCUAGGUUCCAAAUCAGAAUUGUUGAACCUCAAGAUAAUUGACAGAGAAUGUUAAUUAGAAAUAAUGUGAUUCUCUAGCACCUGUGCCAACAAACUUAUUUUGAGAUACAUUUUAUACCAGUAACUUUUGAAAAUAUCUUGUGCUGAAAAAAAAUGUGUUGCAUAGUCACAUCAACGUCCAAACUUUCAUAAGGCUACACAUUAAAAAGCACAACUUCGUUUUUAGUUCAUUACCCUGAGUUUACCAUGGCUACACCCUUACUGUUUAUGUAUCAAGAGACUCCAAAUGAAAUAGUCUAUGUUAGUUCAUGAAAGCAUUCACAUGUAACUGGCUGGAGGUCCUCUUCAGUUGUAGAACAUGUAGUUAGCAUGUAAAAUAUCCUGGCUUUGAUCUUAUUCCUCUUGCCAAAAUUCACUUUAUGGAUCCUUCUGCAACCUGCUUUUCCAGUAGGCAUUUUACAGUGAGGAAUCUUUCUGAAUAGGUAUAAUAAUAAGCAAUGUUCUCUACCCUGACUAUUGACCAAUCACUGGGUGGAUAGACAGUAUAUUUUCAACCUUAUUUCUCUGAUGAAUAAAGUAUGUGCUGCAUCUUAGCUUUUACUAUUUUAAAUAAUACUCCAAACAACAUUUUUUACUAAAUAUAUUUUGCACAUUACAGUUAAACCUAAUAGAUAAAUUCAUCCUCCUUGGUACAAUGCAAGCUUGCAUUUAUUGUGCAGCUAUUACCUACAAAUGGAAACAUUGCCUCCUAGAGGGAAGAAAGGAAAUUCUAAGAUUCAGACAAAAAAAAUAACUCACAAAUUCAGGAAACUCAUAAAAUUUACAAGAUCCAAAACUCCCUGAACAAGAUUACAGAGCAGUAAAAACUUGUGAGAAGAAGAAUCUCUCGGUCUAUAUAUCUGAGCUUUCUGAAAGUAACACAAAGAGCUCCAGGAAACAACUCUCAUGAGUCUCCACCCAUUCUAGAAUGGGCUGUUUUAUUAUGCUUGCCUUUGAGUAACCCAUGCUUUUAUGGAUAAACCUGCACAGGGAGCGCUUGUAGAAUUCCAAGUAAACACACGUGUUGGCUUAGUGACAUUUGGAUGAAUAUUUUUCUCCUUUUGUUUAAUUGUUGGUGCACUGCCUAGGAUGAUUAAGCAUUUCAUUUUUUCAUGUCUCCCAGUUAAGGUCACAGAGUGGUUUUCUUGCUGUUCAGAAAUGAGAAAAACAGAGACUUUGUAAAUAAUUCUGAUACUUGCAAAUAUCACAGGAGAUAAAUAUUUUUCAUCUAUACAGUUUCUCCCAAAUAUUAGUUAAGCAUCUGUGAUGGACCAUAUUCACUGUAUGUUAGGGCCAUAUACACUGUUUGUUAGAUUAUAGUAACAGAAGGGAGAAAGAAAUAAAAAUAAACGUCAAAUGGAAAACUCUUUCCCAGGUAGCUGAUGGUGCAUAUGGGGAAGACAAAUGUGAAUUAAGUAAUAACAUAAUAUAAUAUAAAAUUCCAACCUUAGUGAGUUCUAUAAAUAUAUGAUAGUGAGUAACAAAGAUGGAGCAAUUCAAGGAUGGGCUAACAUAGAGGAUGGUUCCUAUGGAAAGGGAGAGUUGGUUCAAUCUAAAGUAUAAAGUGAAUACUCACUAGCCAAGGGGAAAAGAAAAAAGAGUAAUGAGGAUAGUAAAAUUAAAGGGACAAAUUAUUAUGGGCAGAGAAUCUGUCUAAGACAUGUCCAGUCAGGGGAGGAGUA